rnacentral:lncRNA from 1 species
GUGGAGGGAGAGACAGAAAGAUAAAAAUAAUACUAAAAGAUCAUCCGAUAAUUAAAAAUUAAGGUGAAAAGUGGUGUUAAUAAUUUAUGAGAAAAAUGUUAUGUUGAAUUGAAUUGGUUGUUUGAAUGAAUGGAAAUUGGUAUAUUGGAGGAUUGUGUAAUUUGUUUAAUUGAAGGUUUAAAAAAGUGAUAGAAUUUUCUUUAUAAGUAAAUUAAGUAAUAUGUU